ACUUGUUUAACUUCCUUUUUAAUUCCUAAAGAAUAUAAAACUGCUGAGGAUUCAAGAUGGCGCUGUGAGAACAACCCAGGAUUGGAGCUCUUCUCGUUGAAUCUGCAAAUGUCUCUUUUCCCCACUACUACCAUGCGGGUGUAGAAAAUUAUAAUGCCCUAAGAAAUGGCAGAGUUUCAAGAGGGAAAGAUGCUGCAUCUCUAACUCAUGGUGUGGAUGAAUGCCAUCAUGCAGAAACACCCCUAUUGCACUGUCAUUGAGCCAGUGGAGGGAUUCUACCAGUGGCCAAAGAUAUCCAGCUAAGAAUAUGCCAGUAUGUUGUGAAGAUAACAAUUGGAUGGGUUUGUUGUCCCACUGGCCUUGGGUAAGUUCUCUGUUUGCCCAC
rnacentral:lncRNA from 1 species